AGAAAAAGAAAAUAUGUGGUUUGUACCUUUUGUAUCAGGGGAGUUCAAGGAUUAAUAAAUUACUUAGUCGAUUUAAAUAGAGCUUUUUAAAAUGUAAAAUUGCAGUUUUAUUAUUUAGAUAUUAAGUGGUGAAAAAUGUUCGAUAUUUAUGGUAUCUAAUUACUUAAAAUUAAAAGAGUAAGUUUUUUUCUGUCUAUGGGAGUAUAUAGUUGGGUGAGCUAGGCUUUAAAUUAGCUUUGUUUUUAAAUUGUUUUAAAUAAACUGGGUUGGUACUAAUAGUAGGAUUUAUAGGUUAUGCAGGUAAAUCUAGGUAUGCAAAAAUAAUGAAUUUAUUGAAUAAUGAGAGGGAGAUGGUAAAUAACUAGUAAAAAAUAAGAAUGUUUAACAAAAACAUUUUUUGUGUGAAAUGAUAAGUAAGACCUGCCCGGUGAGUAUUUAACGGCUGCGGUAUUUUGACCGUGCUAAGGUAGCAUAGUCAUUUGUUUUUUAAUUGAGAACUGGAAUGAAAGGUUAAUCUUAUUUUAAUUUUUGUGGUACUAAAUAAUAAAUUAAAGUUGAGGUAAGAAUUCUUUAAUCUUCUAGGGGACGAUAAGACCCUAGAAGCUUAACAUUAAGUUAAACUGAUAGUUUAAGUUGAGUUUUUGUUUUACUGGGGCGGUAGAGAUAAAUAAGCUAUUUGAGUACGAAAGAUCUUUAAAAUUAAGAUAGUUGGAAAUAGUUACUCUAGGGAUAACAGUGUAAUACUUUUGGAGAGAUCUUAUUGAUAAAUGAGUUUGCAACCUCGAUGUUGAAUUAAGAUGUCUAAGUGAUGCAGAGGUACUUAAGAGGGUUUGUUCAACC
rnacentral:rRNA from 1 species